rnacentral:lncRNA from 1 species
GGGACUACAGGUGCAUGCCACCACCAUGCCUGGCUAAUAUUUUAAUUACUUUUAUUAGAGACAGGGUCUCACUGUGUUGCCUAGGCUGUUCUCAAAUUCUUAGCCUCAAGAGAUCCUCCCACCUUGGUCUCCUGAGUAGCUGGGAUUGCAGGUGUGAGCCACCACGCCCGGCUGGUUGAUUCCUUUCUACCCCUUACUUACUACUCUGGACCCUACAUUUGGGCCUAACAUGGCAGCCAUUGUGACCCUUUAAAAAUACAAAUUAGGUAACGUUACUCUGCUACUUAAAACCCCUGAAAGGUCUUCUAUUAUUGUUUAAAUCUACCCUCAUUUCCAUGGCCUAGCAGCCUGUGUAUCUGCCCCCUGACCACCCCUCCAAGCUCCCCUCCUGCCCUACUCACUUGCUCCCUUAUCCCAUCCACUGACCUUCUACUGUUGCACAAAUAUACCAGACUAUUUCCCACACAGAGCUACCUAUUCACUUAACAAGUGCUUAUGAAAGACCUACUAUGUGCCACACACUGUACUUGGUGCUGAAGAGACGAAUGAAAGGCAUGCAAAUCCCUGCUGCUGGGAAACUUACAUGCUAAUGAAGACAGACAGACCAUAAACAUGACAAGUAAAUAAAUAUAGUAUGUCAGGCCAGAUGUGGUGGCUUACACCUGUAAUCCCAGCACUUUGGGAGGCCAAGGCUUGAGAAUCACUUGAGUCCAGGAGUUCAAGACCAACCUGGGCAACAUAGUGAGACCCCGUCUUUAUAAAAAAAUGAACAAAAUUAGCCGGGCCUGUGGGGUGCACACCUGUAGUCCAAGCUCCUCAGGAGGCUGAGUUGAGAGGAUCACUUGAGCCCAGGAGAUCAAAGCUGUAGUGAGCCGUGAUUGUGCCACUGCACUCCAUCCUGGGUGACAGAGUGAGACCUUGUCUCAAAUGAAUGAAUGAAUAAAUACAUAAAGUAUGUCAGAUGGAAAUCAGUACUCAGGGAAAAGAAAGAAAGCCAAGAGAGGGGAUUUGAGGCAUUGGGGAAUGGAUUUGCAAUUUUCCACAUCAGAGCCGGGGAAUGUCUCAGUGAGAAGGCAGUAUAUGAAACGUGGAGGAAGUGGGGGAAUGAGCCACAGAUUAUGUGGAGGGAAGAGUGUUCCCAGUAGAGGUGAUAGUGAAGGCAAAGUCCCCAAGGCAGCAGCAUGUCUGGUGUGUCCGAGGAACGGCGAGGAGGCCAGAGGGGAUGGAGGGGACUGGGAGGUGAGAUGAAAGAGGUACCCCUAAUCAGGUGAGCCUGAGAGACCAGCACAAGAACUUCAACAUCUAUGGAAACCUCUGCCAGGACACUCCAUUCUGAUUCCCAUCUUUCAGUUCUCAGAGGGAUACCCCUUGACUACCCUCAUACUUCACUAUAACAACACUCUCUUUUAUUCAUAAGUAGCAAAAUUUGGCCGAGCAUGGUGGCUCAUGCCUGUAAUCCUAGUACUUUGGGAGGCCAAGACAGAUGGAUCACCUGAGGUCGCGAGUUCAAGACCAACCUGAUUAACAUGGAGAAACCCCAUCACUACUAAAAAUACAAAGUUAGCCAGGCGUGGUGGUGUACACUGGUAAUCCCAGCUACUCAGGAGGCUGAGGCAGGAGAAUCACUUGAACCUGGGAGGCAGAGGUUGCAGUGAGCUGAGAUUGUGCCAUUGCACUCCAGCCUGGGCAACAAGAGCGAAAUUCCAUUGCCAAAAAAAAAAAGAAAAAGAAAAAAA